rnacentral:lncRNA from 1 species
AUUUACUAUUUCUUUGUCUUAUUUCUCUGCUCUGUUGUCUCUGUUGCGUGUCCUCUUUUCUUGCUUGUUUGCAAGUGUGGCAGAGGAGUUGGUGGGCAGCAACGGAAGGUGCGAAGGUUGUUGAUACGGCGCACAUGGGCAGCGGCGCAUAGGGACCUAGGGUUUUUUUGCCUAGUUGAUAGUGUUUAGGUUUUGGGCCUUUUGGUCCCCAUAGGUUUGGGCGUAGUUGGGUUGUCCGGGAUUGGGUUUGCAAGUUGUAAAAGGACUGUUAAUAAUUGUUUAUUGGGCUCGGGCAAAUUUGGGCAUUUACACAUAUUAUGUCAUUUUUUUGUAGUUUUAUUUUUCAUUGUGACAUUGAAGGUUAAAAUAAUAAGAAAAUAUGAAAAUU